CCUACGGGUGGCUGCAGUGGGGAAUCUUGCGCAAUGGGCGAAAGCCUGACGCAGCAACGCCGCGUGGGGGAUGAAGGCUCUCGGGUUGUAAACCCCUUUCAGCAGGGACGAAUCAAGACGGUACCUGCAGAAGAAGCCCCGGCUAACUACGUGCCAGCAGCCGCGGUAACACGUAGGGGGCAAGCGUUGUCCGGAUUUAUUGGGCGUAAAGAGCUCGUAGGUGGCUGAGUAAGUCGGAUGUUAAAUCCCCAGGCUCAACCUGGGACACCACCCGA
rnacentral:rRNA from 1 species